rnacentral:misc_RNA from 1 species
GAUGAAGAACGCAGCAAAAUGCGAUAAGUAAUGUGAAUUGCAGAAUUCAGUGAAUCAUCGAAUCUUUGAACGCACAUUGCGCCCGCCAGUAUUCUGGCGGGCAUGCCUGUUCGAGCGUCAUUUCAACCCUCAAGCACAGCUUGGUGUUGGGACUCGCGUUAAUUCGCGUUCCUCAAAUUGAUUGGCGGUCACGUCGAGCUUCCAUAGCGUAGUAGUAAAACCCUCGUUACUGGUAAUCGUCGCGGCCACGCCGUUAAACCCCAACUUCUGAAUGUUGACCUCGGAUCAGGUAGGAAUACCCGCUGAACUUAAGCAUAUCAAUAAGCGGGGGA